rnacentral:rRNA from 1 species
UACGUAGGGCGCAAGCGUUGUCCGGAAUUAUUGGGCGUAAAGAGCUCGUAGGCGGUUUGUCGCGUCUGCUGUGAAAUCCCGAGGCUCAACCUCGGGCCUGCAGUGGGUACGGGCAGACUAGAGUGCGGUAGGGGGAGAUUGGAAUUCCUGGUGUAGCGGUGGAAUGCGCAGAUAUCAGGAGGAACACCGAUGGCGAAGGCGGUUCUCUGGGCCUGUACUGACGCUGAGGAGCGAAAGCGUGGGGAGCGAACAGG